rnacentral:rRNA from 1 species
UUGGGUGUCUAUGGCGGUUGGGUCCACCUCUUACCAUUCCGAACAGAGAAGUUAAGCCAACUUGCGCAGAUGGUACUGCCCUUUUGAGGGUGGGAGAGUAUGUUGAUGCCACUU